UCCGUUUCCCAUAAGGCUGAGCUGUGAUGGCGAGCGAAAUAUAGUAGCGAAGUUCCUGAUUCCACACUGCCAAGAAAAGCCUCUAGCGAGGUGAGAGGUGCCCGUACCGCAAACCGACACAGGUAGGCGAGGAGAGAAUCCUAAGGUGAUCGAGAGAACUCUCGUUAAGGAACUCGGCAAAAUGACCCCGUAACUUCGGGAGAAGGGGUGCUCUGUUAGGGUGCAAGCCCGAGAGAGCCGCAGUGAAUAGGCCCAGGCGACUGUUUAGCAAAAACACAGGUCUCUGCGAAGCCGUAAGGCGAAGUAUAGGGGCUGACGCCUGCCCGGUGCUGGAAGGUUAAGAGGAGCGCUUAGCGUAAGCGAAGGUGCGAAUUGAAGCCCCAGUAAACGGCGGCCGUAACUAUAACGGUCCUAAGGUAGCGAAAUUCCUUGUCGGGUAAGUUCCGACCCGCACGAAAGGCGCAACGAUCUGGGCACUGUCUCAACGAGAGACUCGGUGAAAUUAUAGUACCUGUGAAGAUGCAGGUUACCCGCGACAGGACGGAAAGACCCCGUGGAGCUUUACUGCAGCCUGAUAUUGAAUGUUGGUACAGCUUGUACAGGAUA
rnacentral:rRNA from 1 species